rnacentral:rRNA from 1 species
AUUGAACGCUGGCGGCAUGCCUUACACAUGCAAGUCGAACGGUAACAGGUCUUCGGACGCUGACGAGUGGCGAACGGGUGAGUAAUACAUCGGAACGUGCCCAGUCGUGGGGGAUAACUACUCGAAAGAGUAGCUAAUACCGCAUACGAUCUGAGGAUGAAAGCGGGGGACCUUCGGGCCUCGCGCGAUUGGAGCGGCCGAUGGCAGAUUAGGUAGUUGGUGGGAUAACGGCCCACCAAGGCAACGAUCGGUAGCCGGACUGAGAGGUUGAACGGCCACAUUGGGACUGAGACACGGCCCAG